AAAUAAGAAGCAAAAUUUUGCAGUUAGUUUCGACCUAAUUUUUGAUGUAAACAAUCAUCCUUAUUUA
rnacentral:tRNA from 1 species